UGGCCUUGACAUAGAAAGAAUGGAGCAGAGAGGUAAAAGUGUUCGUUUCGUAGAGCUUUCACAC
rnacentral:rRNA from 1 species